rnacentral:lncRNA from 1 species
CUUUUCCUGUGGCGGAGGGCCUGGACCCAAUUGCCACGUUGACAGAUGAUGCUCGGGCUGUGGCGUGGAGUAACGAGGGUGAUAGGCUGUCAGCAGAAAAUGCCACUAUUCUAACAAACUGUAAAGUUUUCUGAAGACCAUUGAAAGAGCUUUAGCUUUUGAUGAGACUGUAUUAAUUGAAAACAUGUGUGACUUUAUUGAUCCCAUACUUGAUCAUCUGCUUGGAAGACAUGCAGUUAAAAAGGGAAGAUGUACCACGAGUGACGACAAAAAAUUUGAAUUCAACAAGAACUUUCAUCUCAUCCUUCACACUAAUCUGGCUAACCCUCACUUGCAAGCCAGAACUGCCUGUUCAGACCACCUUCAUUAAUUUCACUGUCACCAGGGACAGGAUGGAAGACCAGCUGUUGCCUGAGGUUAUUAAUGCUGAAAGGCAAGACUCACAGAAAACAUAAGUUUUCACACCUGCUUUCCUGGGAGACUGAAGUUUGGCCUUUGGGGCUGGAAUGGAAGGGACCCGAUGGGCACCAGAGAUCUCCGUCUGUGUCCCUGUCCUCAGCUACCACCCAGAGCCCCGCAAGAAGGUAAGCAGGGGUCAGGUGGGUGGAAAGAAGAAGGAGGAGAAUGACACAUCAAGGUCAUUUCCACUCAAUCACAGGUUUAUACUGAACAAGGGGGACACAGUUCUUUCCCUGAAGCUGGUAUUUAAGUAGCUGGCGUUAUAUGAUGCUUUUGGUGAGUAUGAAAAUGAACCAGAUCAAAGGGGGUGGGGGGUUGUGGGUUUUUUCUGGCAGUAGAUGCUUGAACUUUGCAAUAUAGGUCAAACCAGUUCCACAUCAGUAGCUAAGGGGGGAAAAAAAUGCCCUUCAUUAUGUUAACAAAAACAGGGGUUUACAUGUGCAUAUAUGCCAAAUUCAUUAGGCAGGUAAUGAAGCAUUUGCACAAAUGUAAUUACAAACAGCAAUUCUGACAGUUCAUAACACUGCAUUAAUAAUCACUACAAUUAGUUCUGAUGAUGGAAGCAAUUUACAGCACGUCACAUGUAUAAAUAAUGGUGCAUUUCCUGAAUGUGUCAUUAUUAUGUAUUAAGGAUGCCACCUUGUUGUGACUUUCUCAGUAAUGUUCCCCUUGAGUCAAAGUUAAGGAUACGAGAGCGAUUUUUUUCUGAGCUACAGCAUAUUUCAUACUUGCAUAGUUUAAA